AUGGGGAAAAUGUCCCAGAGUUUGCAGCUGUUAGAAGAGGUGAUCACAGUCCUGCUGAUCAUUGGAUUGAGAUGGACAGCAGCCUCCAAAGCUCCGAGUGUCCACUCCCAGGUCCAGCUGCAGCAGUCUGGGGAUGAGCUGAGGAGACCUGGGUCCUCAGUUAAGUUGUCCUGCAAGGCUUCUGGCUACACCUUCACAGACUACUAUAUGCACUGGGUGAAGCAGAAGCCAGGACAAGGCCUGGAGUGGAUUGGAAGGAUUGAUCCUGAAUAUGGUGGUACUAACUACAAUCAGAAGUUCCAGGGCAAGGCCACACUGACUGCAGACACAUCCUCCAGCACAGCCUACAUGGAGCUCAGCAGCCUGACAUCUGAGGACUCUGCAGUCUAUUACUGUGCAAGACACAGUGUUGCAACCACAUCCUGA